UACAGAGGUCCCAAGCGUUACUGAGAAUCACUGGGUUUAAAGGGUGCGUAGGUGGUCCGUUAAGUCAGUUGUGAAAUCCCCGGGCUCAACCCGGGAACUGCUUCUGAUACUGGCGGACUUGAGGCCAGUAGGGGUCACUAGAACUGACGGUGGAGCGGUGAAAUGCGCAGAUAUCAGGAGGAACACCGGUGGCGAAGGCGGUUCUCUGGGCCUUACCUGACGCUGAGGAGCGAAAGCGUGGGGAGCGAACAGG
rnacentral:rRNA from 1 species